UCUGCAACUUCUGCCAAGUGUCACAAAGGGAAUGUUCUGAAAUUUGUAGUGGAAGACAAGUGUCCGUGUGUGAGAGAACAUCCGUUUGACUUGGGAAGAAAACCAACUUUUCUGAAAAACCUUUUUCCCACACUCUGCAUGCAUUCUUCUUCUUCCUCAAAACUCAACUUUUUAUUUUCUCCACCUUCUCUCUAGAAAGCCUUCAACUUCUCUCUACUGCUACUCACCCAUUUCUUCUCCGUUCAACAUUCAGAAACCGUAGAACCAUUCCUGGUGUCGUAAGCUUCGUUUUGAACCGAUCACCUCAACGUUCUGAUACUGAUCUGGUUGGAAGGAGUAAGUGAUCCUUUGAGGGUAGAAGACUGUUAGCGGGCGAACCAAACACCUUGAGUUUAGGACGUUCACUACUGACCCAGACGGAGAGGCGUUGCUUGAAGAAACACUGGAAGAAGAAAAUUUGGAAGACGCCAAUCUGGUUGAAGUAGAGGUUAAGGCUGAGCCCUAGAGCGCUCGUUAUGUGGUAGCCUUUAGUAAUUCUGUUUAGCUUUUGAACGUUCAGUUGAUGUUUGUAAAACCGUUAGUCUUAGAACUUUGGAAUACUGCUGGGCUCUAUUUAUUUUUGUACUUUAAGCCGUUCGGCUUUUUGAUCCUCGUAUCUUUAUGUAAA